rnacentral:tRNA from 1 species
AGCCCUGUAGUAUAGUGGUCAAGUAUACAGGCCUUUGGCGCCUGGGACCCAGGUUCGAAUCCUGG